GACGUAGGGGGCCAGCGUUGCUCGGAAUUACUGGGCGUAAAGCGCACGCAGGCGGUCUGUCAAGUCGGAUGUGAGAUCCCCGGGCUCAACCUGGGAACUGCAUCCGAAACUGGCAGGCUAGAGUCUUGUAGAGGGGGGUAGAAUUCCAGGUGUAGCGGUGAAAUGCGUAGAGAUCUGGAGGAAUACCGGUGGCGAAGGCGGCCCCCUAGACAAAGACUGACGCUCAGGUGCGAAAGCGUGGGGAGCAAACAGG
rnacentral:misc_RNA from 1 species